AUUGAACGCUGGCGGCAUGCUUUACACAUGCAAGUCGAACGGCAGCGCGGGCUUCGGCCUGGCGGCGAGUGGCGAACGGGUGAGUAAUACAUCGGAACGUGCCCAGUAGUGGGGGAUAGCUCGGCGAAAGCCGGAUUAAUACCGCAUACGACCUGAGGGUGAAAGAGGGGGAUCUUCGGACCUCGCGCUAUUGGAGCGGCCGAUGGCAGAUUAGCUAGUUGGUGGGGUAAAGGCCUACCAAGGCGACGAUCUGUAGCUGGUCUGAGAGGACGACCAGCCACACUGGGACUGAGACACGGCCCAGACUCCUACGGGGGGCAGCAGUGGGGAAUUUUGGACAAUGGGCGAAAGCCUGAUCCAGCAAUGCCGCGUGUGUGAUGAAGGCCUUCGGGUUGUAAAGCACUUUUGGCGGGAACGAAAAGGACUAUGCCAAUACCACGGUUCGAUGACGGUACCCGCAGAAUAAGCACCGGCUAACUACGUG
rnacentral:rRNA from 1 species